rnacentral:rRNA from 1 species
GACGAACCGUGCGAACGUUGUUCGGAAUCACUGGGCUUAAAGGGCGCGUAGGCGGGUGGUCAAGUCAGGGGUGAAAUCUUUCAGCUCAACUGGAAAACAGCUUCUGAUACUGGCCGUCUUGAGGGGGGUAGGGGCAUGUGGAACUUCCGGUGGAGCGGUGAAAUGCGUAGAUAUCGGAAGGAACGCCGGUGGCGAAAGCGACGUGCUGGACCCUUUCUGACGCUGAGGCGCGAAAGCCAGGGGAGCAAACGGG